UUUGGCCAAGGUACUGUCCUUUUAUUAUUUUCCUGUUUUGGCAUGAUACAAUCUAUUAUUAUUUAAACAUUUUUUCUUUUUUGGCCAAGGUACUGUCCUUUUAUUAUUUUCCUUUUUAGCCAUGGUACAUCUACUAUAAUUUAAUCAUUUUUCUUUUUAUGGCCAAGGUACUGUCCUUUUUAGGCAUGGUAAAAUCUACUAUAAUUAAAUAAUUUUUCUUUUUU
rnacentral:lncRNA from 1 species